UACCGGAUAGGCAAUUAUUUCUGGAAUGGUUUUUUGUUUAAAUGUUUUUUUCGCCUAAGGAUGGGUCUGCGGCCGAUUAGGUAGUUGGUUAGGUAACGGCUUACCAAGCCAUUGAUCGGUACGGGUUGUGAGAGCAAGAGCCCGGAGAUGGAACCUGAGACAAGGUUCCAGGCCCUACGGGGUGCAGCAGGCGCGAAACCUCCGCAAUGUGAGAAAUCGCGACGGGGGGAUCCCAAGUGCCAUUCUUAACGGGAUGGCUUUUCAUUAGUGUAAAGAGCUUUUGGAAUAAGGGCUGGGCAAGACCGGUGCCAGCCGCCGCGGUAACACCGGCAGCUCUAGUGGUAGCAGUUUUUAUUGGGCCUAAAGCGUCCGUAGCCGGUUUAAUAAGUCUCUGGUGAAAUCCUGUAGCUUAACUGUGGGAAUUGCUGGAGAUACUAUUAGACCUGAGACCGGGAGAGGUUAGAGGUACUCCCAGGGUAGAGGCGAAAUUCUGUAAUCCUGGGAGGACCGCCUGUUGCGAAGGCGUCUAACUGGAACGGUUCUGACGGUGAGGGACGAAAGUUAGGGGCGCGAACCGGAUUAGAUACCCGGGUAGUCCUAACUGUAAACGAUGCGGACUUGGUGUUGGGGUGGCUUUGAGCUGCUCCAGUGCCGAAGGGAAGCUGUUAAGUCCGCCGCCUGGGAAGUACGGUCGCAAGACUGAAACUUAA
rnacentral:rRNA from 1 species